UACGUAGGGUGCAAGCGUUGCCCGGAAUUAUUGGGCGUAAAGAGCUCGUAGGCGGUCUGUCACGUCGGCUGUGAAAACCUGGGGCUCAACUCCGGGCCUGCAGCCGAUACGGGCAGACUAGAGUUCGGCAGGGGAGACUGGAAUUCCUGGUGUAGCGGUGAAAUGCGCAGAUAUCAGGAGGAACACCGGUGGCGAAGGCGGGUCUCUGGGCCGAAACUGACGCUGAGGAGCGAAAGCGUGGGGAGCAAACAGG
rnacentral:rRNA from 1 species